rnacentral:rRNA from 2 species
GCGAACGGGUGAGUAACACGUGGGCAAUCUGCCCUUCACUCUGGGACAAGCCCUGGAAACGGGGUCUAAUACCGGAUAAUACUUUCCCUCUCAUGGGGGAAGGUUAAAAGCUCCGGCGGUGAAGGAUGAGCCCGCGGCCUAUCAGCUAGUUGGUGGGGUAAUGGCCUACCAAGGCGACGACGGGUAGCCGGCCUGAGAGGGCGACCGGCCACACUGGGACUGAGACACGGCCCAGACUCCUACGGGAGGCAGCAGUGGGGAAUAUUGCACAAUGGGCGAAAGCCUGAUGCAGCGACGCCGCGUGAGGGAUGACGGCCUUCGGGUUGUAAACCUCUUUCAGCAGGGAAGAAGCGAAAGUGACGGUACCUGCAGAAGAAGCGCCGGCUAACUACGUGCCAGCAGCCGCGGUAAUACGUAGGGCGCAAGCGUUGUCCGGAAUUAUUGGGCGUAAAGAGCUCGUAGGCGGCUUGUUGCGUCGGUUGUGAAAGCCCGGGGCUUAACCCCGGGUCUGCAGUCGAUACGGGCAGGCUAGAGUGUGGUAGGGGAGAUCGGAAUUCCUGGUGUAGCGGUGAAAUGCGCAGAUAUCAGGAGGAACACCGGUGGCGAAGGCGGAUCUCUGGGCCAUUACUGACGCUGAGGAGCGAAAGCGUGGGGAGCG